GAGAUGGCUCAGUUGGUAGAGCAUGAGACUCUUAAUCUCGGGGUCGCGGGUUUGAGACCUACCUUGAGCA